GCUCCUGAGCUCAAGCUAUCCACUUGCCUCAGCCUCCCAAAUUGCUGAGAUUAGAAGAAUGAGCCACUGUGCCUGUGACUUACUUCUAACCCACAGAAUAGAGCAACAGUGAGAGGAUGUCAAUUCUGUGAUAGAUUGCAAAAUAUUGUAAGUUCCUAGCAGUCUUUCUCAUUGGUUUCAAUAAAAAAAAGCUGCUGUGCUGGAGGGACCCAUGAGGCAAAGAACUGAGAGCAGCCUUUAGCUAACAGCCGGCAAGGAAUGAGGUGCUUGGUCCAGCAAUCACAGAGAAACUGAAUCCUGCUGAUGAUCAUGAGGGUGAGCUUGGAAGCAGAUUCUGUCCCAGAUGAACUUUGAUUGUGUCUUGUUAGAAACCCUGGACCAACUCCUUGAUUGCACCUGUGAGAGGCCCUGAAGCGGAGGGCCCAGCUAAGGUGUGUCUGGAUUUCUGACCCACAGAAACUGAGAUCAUAAAUGUGUGGUUUUAAGCCCGUAAGUUUUGGAAUACAGUAGAUCUUCAUUAUUCACAGAUUUUGCACUUGCAAAUUUGCUUACUCGCUAAAAUUUAUUUGUAUCCCUAAAAUCAGUACUCCAGCACUUUCACAGUCAUUUACGGCAUCUGCAGAGCAGUGAAAAAUUUGAAUUGCCUGAGAUACAUGCUCCCUGCUGAAGUCGCACAAGCUGGCCAAUCCUGCUAAUCCUUUAAAACUCACCUGGAGGGAAGGCCUCCUUCUGCAAAGCCUCUCUUGAUGCAGAUUAUCAGCUUUCACUCUCUACCAGAUGGCAAGGAUAUUGCUGUUGGCUCAUAGGAUGUGAACAGUGGUGUUGAGAUUACCCUCAUUUGGCUGAUGAUGUCAUUGAGGCCCAGAGAAGGUAAGUAAUGUACCAAGGUUACAGACUAGUAAGUGACAGAGAUGGGUUUUGAGCCCCAUUCUUCUACAUUGUGUGCAAUAGCUCAUAUCAAGGUCACUAAAGCUGAAGACUGAAUUAUUUAUUCAAAUACUGCCAUCAUGCACCAAUAUUCUCAACAGGUAGGACACCUGGCAGGGCCUGGCUUUGGGGCUAACUUCUGCAGCUCUUUUGAUUGCCCCCACCUUACAGUUUUUGGCACAGAGCACUGUGUAGCUGGCACUUCUCUACUGGCCCGAAUGAGAAAACUUCCUCAGAGCAAAAUGUCAAGCACCAAAUAAGAUUCAUGUUUACUGUGAAGUGAUUGCUGCUUUUUAAAUGCUUAUCAGAAGCCGAAGGACAAACUCAGUAGGUUGAUUCAUGCUGAGCUCGACUACCUCCGUGAGAAAUGACUCUCCUGUAGGGCUCGAUGACCUUCAUGUCAAUGCGCUGCUCUUGUUCUCCAAUGACCACUGUCCUCCAAAGCCGGUUGUCCUCCCGUUCCUCUUCGGCCGUAUAUUCUGGAAUAGACUCUGACUCUUGGCCAGAAUCUUUGUUGGCUGUGGGAUCUUCUGGAAACAAAGCACAGAGCAAGGCUGAAGGAGCAAGACCUCCACAGUGCAGCUAAACAGCCAAAUGAGUCUCCCGCAAGUCAGGAAAACUGGAUAAAAAGAGGCCUAAAUGUGAGCAAGAGCUAUCAUGUUUGGCUUCAAAUCCGCUACAUCCUACCUUCUCUGUGACGACUUUGAAAAGUGUCCAUGAAUUCUUUGACACUCUUUUCAAAAGGUGGAGCCUAAUUUCCCGUCCCUUAAGUGUGGACUGAUGAUUUGCUUCUAAAGAACAGAAUAAGGUGGAAUGGAUGGUAGGUGACUUCUAAGGCUAGGUCCUAAAAAGCACUGUGUGCUUUGUUCUCUCUUGGGUCUCUCAGUCUGGGAGAAACCAGCUACCCUGUUGUAAGGACAGUCAAGCAGCCCUGUGGAGAGUCCAUGUGGCAAGGAACUGAGGCUUCCUGUGAAAAUCCAGGAAGGAACUGAAGCCUUCUGCCAACAGCCAUGUGAACGAGCCAUCUUGGAGGCAGAUCCUGCAGCCUGGCUAAUGUCUUGAUGGCAACUUAACAAGAUACCUUAAGCCAGAACCAUCUAGCUAAUACACUCUUGAAUUCCUAUUACAAACACUGGGAAAUAAUCAAUGUUUGUUGUUUUAAGCUGCUAAACUUUGAUAUUAUUUAUUUUAUUCAUUUAUUUUUUG
rnacentral:lncRNA from 1 species